rnacentral:miRNA from 1 species
GAAGCGCUUGCCUAGACGAGACACAGUGCAUAAAAACUUGAUGGCUUUUGGGGGACAGGUAUGUUUUUCUUGCAGCUGCGGUUGUAAGGUCUUGGCAAGACAAGCA